rnacentral:rRNA from 1 species
UACAGAGGCCUCAAGCGUUGUUCGGAAUUACUGGGCGUAAAGAGAAUGUAGGUGGUGAAGAAAGUCAGAUGUGAAAGCCCUGGGCUCAACCCGGGAAUAGCAUUUGAUACUGCUUCGCUCGAGUGCAGGAGAGGAAAGAGGAAUUCCUGGUGUAGGGGUGAAAUCCGUAGAUAUCAGGAGGAAUACCGAUGGCGAAGGCAUCUUUCUGGCCUGCAACUGACACUGAGAUUCGAAAGCAUGGGUAGCAAAC